CUUCGGGGUGUAAAGCUCUUUCGGCAGGGAAGAUAAUGACGGUACCUGUAGAAGAAGCUGCGGCUAACUACGUGCCAGCAGCCGCGGUAAUACGUAGGGGGCAAGCGUUGUUCGGAAUUACUGGGCGUAAAGGGUGCGUAGGCGGUUUUUCAAGUUUGGUGUGAAAUCUCCGGGCUCAACCGGGAGGGUGCGCUGAAAACUGUCGGGCUUGAGUGUGGGAGAGGAAAGUGGAAUUCCCGGUGUAGCGGUGAAAUGCGUAGAUAUCUGGAGGAACACCUGUGGUGUAAACGGCUUUCUGGACCAUUACUGACGCUGAGGCACGAAAGCUUGGGUAGCAAACAGGAUUAGAUACCCUGGUAGUCCACGCCCUAAACGAUGC
rnacentral:rRNA from 1 species